rnacentral:rRNA from 1 species
CGUAGGGUGCAAGCGUUGUCCGGAUUUAUUGGGCGUAAAGAGUUCGUAGGCGGUUGCCUAAGUCUGAUGUUAAAUCCCGGAGCUCAACUUCGGUAUGGCAUUGGAAACUGGGUGGCUUGAGUAUGGUAGAGGUUACGGGAAUUCCUGGUGUAGCGGUGAAAUGCGUAGAUAUCAGGAGGAACACCGGUGGCGAAAGCGCGUAACUGGGCCAUAACUGACGCUGAGGAACGAAAGCCAGGGUAGCAAAAAGGAUUAGAUACCCUUGUAGUCCUGGCCGUAAACGAUGGAUACUAGGUGUUGGUGGAUUCGACCCCAUCAGUGCCGUAGCUAACGCGAUAAGUAUCCCGCCUGGGGAGUACGACCGCAAGGUUG